rnacentral:misc_RNA from 1 species
GUGAAUCAUCAAAUUUUUGAACGCAAAUUGCGCCUUUUUCGGAAGGCAUGUCUGUUUGAGGGUCCCAUUCAACAAAUAAUGUUCAGUGUUUUUUGUUGCACACGUUGAUGAGCUUUCCAAGUUUUUUAAAUUUUUGGUGUCGCAUAAUGAACAGCGAGAUAGUUUUUUCCAGUUCGAGUGAAGUAAAAUCUUUUCUUGGUUUGUGUAAAUACAUAAUCGCGCAAUGGGUGGGUCAAUUUCUUUUUAUU